UACAGAGGUCUCAAGCGUUGUUCGGAUUCAUUGGGCGUAAAGGGCGCGUAGGCGGCGGGGUAAGUCGGGUGUGAAAUCUCAGAGCUCAACUCUGAAACUGCACUCGAUACUGCUCUGCUUGAGGACUGGAGAGGAGACUGGAAUUCACGGUGUAGCAGUGAAAUGCGUAGAUAUCGUGAGGAAGACCAGUGGCGAAGGCGGGUCUCUGGGACAGUUCCUGACGCUGAGGCGCGAAGGCCAGGGGAGCAAACGGG
rnacentral:rRNA from 1 species